rnacentral:sRNA from 1 species
UACACCAAUUAAAGUUGCCAAUUGGGGA